AUCGCUUCUCGGCCUUUUGGCUAAGAUCAAGUGUAGUACAAGUGCAUUCCUUAAUCCCCAUCACUUAUUUAACUCCUU
ensembl:snRNA U2 U2 spliceosomal RNA